rnacentral:rRNA from 1 species
AGCAGCCGCGGUAAUUCCAGCUUCAAUAGCGUAUAUUAAAGUUGUUGCAGUUAAAAAGCUCGUAGUUGAAUUUCGGGAUCGACAGGUUGGUCGCGCCUUCGGUGUGUACUGAUCUAGUCGGUUUCUCCCUUCUGACGAACCACGAUGUCAUUAAUUUGGUGUCGUGGGGAAUCAGGACUGUUACUUUGAAAAAAUUAGAGUGUUUAAAGCAGGCAUUAGCUUGAAUACAUUAGCAUGGAAUAAUGAAAUAGGACGUUUGAUCCUAUUUUGUUGGUUUCUAGGAUCGACGUAAUGAUUAAUAGGGAUAGUUGGGGGCAUUAGUAUUCAAUUGUCAGAGGUGAAAUUCUUGGAUUUAUUGAAGACUAACUACUGCGAAAGCAUUUGCCAAGGAUGUUUUCAUUAAUCAAGAACGAAAGUUAGGGGAUCGAAGACGAUCAGAUACCGUCGUAG